rnacentral:rRNA from 1 species
UACGUAGGUGGCAAGCGUUGUUCGGAAUUAUUGGGCGUAAAGGGCGCGUAGGCGGUCUUGUAAGUCAGCUGUGAAAGCCCGGGGCUCAACCCCGGAGGGUCGGCUGAUACUGCAGGACUGGAGUUCGGCAGGGGAGACUGGAAUUCCUGGUGUAGCGGUGAAAUGCGCAGAUAUCAGGAGGAACACCGGUGGCGAAGGCGGGUCUCUGGGCCGAUACUGACGCUGAGGAGCGAAAGCGUGGGGAGCGAACAGG